ACCCUUUCAUCCAGCCUCCACUUCCCCUAUAUUCCCCCUGCCUCCCCGCAAGGGGCGGAUAUGGUGAUAAACGGCUAUCGAAAUAAACCUUUCGGACCCGGGGGCAGUACCCGGCGUCUCCACCAGGGGGACAGUAUUCAGAAGUCAGGUAUCAGGAGUUUUGAUCCCUGAUUUCUGACCACUGAUCCCUGAAAUGGGGACGAAAUAGGAUCGACGAGGGUGUAAAGGAUUGCUUUUUGCCCGCGAUGGUACCGGCGUUAUCGGGCUAAACAGAUAGUUGCCAAUGACAACUAUGCUCCGGUUGCUCUCGCCGCGUAAGCGGUAGCGAGUAUCCGAAAUCAAAGUCCUGAGGCUUAGCCGUUUCAGGCGGGGUCCGCCGGCACCUGGCAACAGAAGCCGGCACU
rnacentral:tmRNA from 1 species